GAAGUGGAUCAGGCAAUCGCAAGGCAUGUUCUUGAGGAAAGUCCGGGCACCAUAGAGCAGAAUGCCAGUUAACGGCUGGGCGGCGUGAGUCGACGGAAAGUGCAGCAGAGAGUAGACCGCCUUCGGUUUUCCGGGGGUAAGGGUGAAAGGGUGCGGUAAGAGCGCACCGCUCAACUGGUAACAGUUUGAGGCAUGGCAAACCCCAUUCGGUGCAAGACCAAAUAGGAAAAUACGUACUUCGGUACAGGGUGUGGCUCGCACCUUAUUUUCGGGUAGGUUGCUUGAAUGAAGUAGUGAUGCUUCAUCUAGAUGAAUGAUUGUCGCCAGCAAUGGUACAGAACCCGGCUUAUCGAUCCACUUUUUAU
rfam:Hydrogenovibrio marinus strain MH-110 scaffold00001, whole genome shotgun sequence.